CACUGACCCUUUACCUUGCUUCCUUGAGCUUCUGGCAAAAUAUCUCUAAUGAGAAAGAAAGGGGUAUUUAUUUUAUAUAUUAAGGGUUAACAAGUAUAUAGGGGUGUAUAUAAAAAAUACCCCUUUCUGUCUCAUUAGAGAUAUUUUUGCCAGAAGCUCAAGGAAGCAAUGUAAAUGGUCAGAGU